rnacentral:rRNA from 1 species
AUUGAACGCUGGCGGCAUGCCUUACACAUGCAAGUCGAGCGGCAGCACGGGUGCUUGCACUUGGUGGCGAGUGGCGCACGGGUGAGUAAUACAUCGGAACAUGUCCUGUAGUGGGGGAUAGCCCGGCGAAAGCCGGAUUAAUACCGCAUACGGUCUACGGAUGAAAGCGGGGGACCUUCGGGCCUCGCGUUAUAGGGUUGGCCGUUGGUGGAUUAGCUAGUUGGUGGGGUAAAGGCCUACCAAGGCGACGAUCAGUAGCUGGUCUGAGAGGUCGACCAGCCACACUGGGACUGAGACACGGCCCAGACUCCUACGGGAGGCAGCAGUGGGGAAUUUUGGACAAUGGGCGAAAGCCUGAUCCAGCAAUGCCGCGUGUGUGAAGAAGGCCUUCGGGUUGUAAAGCACUUUUGUCCGGAAAGAAAUCCUUUGCCCUAAUACGGGCGGGGCAUGACGGUACCGGAAGAAUAAGCACCGGCUAACUACGUG